rnacentral:ncRNA from 1 species
UGAUAGCGUAGAAGCGUGAGGUUGCCGCACAAGAGAUGCGGGUUUUUCCGUGGAGCGAAUGUCAUGUUAUGAAGACUGGCGACAA